rnacentral:rRNA from 1 species
AGCAGCCGCGGUAAUUCCAGCUCCAAUAGCGUAUAUUAAAGUUGUUGCAGUUAAAAAGCUCGUAGUUGAAUUUCGGGGUCAGCAGGUUGGUCGUGCCUCUGGUACGCACUGGUUUCGCUGAUUCCUCCUUUCUGAAGAACUGUAAUGUCAUUAAUUUGGUGUUGCAGGGAAACAGGACUGUUACUUUGAAAAAAUUAGAGUGUUUAAAGCAAGCUAACGCUUGAAUACAUUAGCAUGGAAUAAUGAAAUAGGACGUUUGAUCCUAUUUUGUUGGUUUCUAGGAUUGACGUAAUGAUUAAUAGGGAUAGUUGGGGGCAUUAGUAUUCAAUUGUCAGAGGUGAAAUUCUUGGAUUUAUUGAAGACUAACUACUGCGAAAGCAUUUGCCAAGGAUGUUUUCAUUAAUCAAGAACGAAAGUUAGGGGAUCGAAGACGAUCAGAUACCGUCGUAG